rnacentral:rRNA from 1 species
AGAGUUUGAUCCUGGCUCAGGAUGAACGCUAGCUACAGGCUUAACACAUGCAAGUCGAGGGGAAACGACAUCGAAAGCUUGCUUCCGAUAGGCGUCGACCGGCGCACGGGUGAGUAACGCGUAUCCAACCUGCCCACCACUUGGGGAUAACCUUGCGAAAGUAAGACUAAUACCCAAUGAUAUCUCUAGAAGACAUCUGAAAGAGAUUAAAGAUUUAUCGGUGAUGGAUGGGGAUGCGUCUGAUUAGCUUGUUGGCGGGGUAACGGCCCACCAAGGCGACGAUCAGUAGGGGUUCUGAGAGGAAGGUCCCCCACAUUGGAACUGAGACACGGUCCAAACUCCUACGGGAGGCAGCAGUGAGGAAUAUUGGUCAAUGGACGAGAGUCUGAACCAGCCAAGUAGCGUGCAGGAAGACGGCCCUAUGGGUUGUAAACUGCUUUUAUAAGGGAAUAAAGUGAGUCUCGUGAGACUUUUUGCAUGUACCUUAUGAAUAAGGACCGGCUAAUUCCGUGCCAGCAGCCGCGGUAAUACGGAAGGUCCGGGCGUUAUCCGGAUUUAUUGGGUUUAAAGGGAGCGUAGGCCGGAGAUUAAGCGUGUUGUGAAAUGUAGACGCUCAACGUCUGCACUGCAGCGCGAACUGGUUUCCUUGAGUACGCACAAAGUGGGCGGAAUUCGUGGUGUAGCGGUGAAAUGCUUAGAUAUCACGAAGAACUCCGAUUGCGAAGGCAGCUCACUGGAGCGCAACUGACGCUGAAGCUCGAAAGUGCGGGUAUCGAACAGGAUUAGAUACCCUGGUAGUCCGCACGGUAAACGAUGGAUGCCCGCUGUUGGUCUGAACAGGUCAGCGGCCAAGCGAAAGCAUUAAGCAUCCCACCUGGGGAGUACGCCGGCAACGGUGAAACUCAAAGGAAUUGACGGGGGCCCG